rnacentral:tRNA from 1 species
CGCAGUGUGGCCCAGUGGGUAGGGCACCAGCCUAGCAAUCAGGAGACCUGGCAUCUAGUCCCAACUCUGCUG